rnacentral:rRNA from 1 species
GAUGAACGCUGGCGGCGUGCCUAAUACAUGCAAGUCGAGCGAACAGACGAGGAGCUUGCUCCUCUGACGUUAGCGGCGGACGGGUGAGUAACACGUGGAUAACCUACCUAUAAGACUGGGAUAACUUCGGGAAACCGGAGCUAAUACCGGAUAAUAUAUUCAACCGCAUGGUUCAAUAGUGAAAGACGGGUUUGCUGUCACUUAUAGAUGGAUCCGCGCCGCAUUAGCUAGUUGGUAAGGUAACGGCUUACCAAGGCAACGAUGCGUAGCCGACCUGAGAGGGUGAUCGGCCACACUGGAACUGAGACACGGUCCAGACUCCUACGGGAGGCAGCAGUAGGGAAUCUUCCGCAAUGGGCGAAAGCCUGACGGAGCAACGCCGCGUGAGUGAUGAAGGUCUUCGGAUCGUAAAACUCUGUUAUUAGGGAAGAACAAAUGUGUAAGUAACUAUGCACGUCUUGACGGUACCUAAUCAGAAAGCCACGGCUAACUACGUG